rnacentral:pre_miRNA from 1 species
GGGACACCCCUUCUGGGGCAAGACUUGCUUCAGUGGGGCUUUGGUGCUCACUGAGUCUGCCCACUGUGUGUGUCCCU